UUGUUACAGUAACACAUAUAUUAAAUUUAUUAUGAUACAGAGAUUAACAUUGCCCUUGUGCAAAGAUGGCAUGCAAAUUGAUGAAGUAUUCCAUAUUAAA
ensembl:snRNA U6 U6 spliceosomal RNA